rnacentral:rRNA from 1 species
CACGUAGGGUGCGAGCGUUGUCCGGAAUUAUUGGGCGUAAAGAGCUCGUAGGCGGCGUGUCGCGUCGGCCGUGAAAACCUGCAGCUCAACUGUGGGCUUGCGGUCGAUACGGGCAUCACUGGAGUUCGGCAGGGGAGACUGGAAUUCCUGGUGUAGCGGUGAAAUGCGCAGAUAUCAGGAGGAACACCGGUGGCGAAGGCGGGUCUCUGGGCCGAUACUGACGCUGAGGAGCGAAAGCGUGGGGAGCAAACAGG